rnacentral:lncRNA from 1 species
GACGUCACAUACCAAACAAUGACGUCAUUCAAAAAAUUUACCUAUUUUGAGGAAAAUUUUUCUUAAGCCAAAAAAAUACCAAAACUGACUUUAAGUAAAAAAAAAAAAAAAAAAAAAAGUAGGGGUGUGAUAAAGGGUAGGGGUGUGAUAAAGGGUAUGCGAUAAAGGGUAGGGGUGUGAUAAAGGGUAUGCGAUAAAGGGUGCGCAUCAAAGUUGCGCGAUAUGGAUUAAACAGCAGGC